rnacentral:rRNA from 1 species
GACGUAGGGGGCCAGCGUUGCUCGGAAUUACUGGGCGUAAAGGGUUCGUAGGCGGUGCGGCAAGUCGGAAGUGAAAUCUCUGGGCUUAACUCAGAGGCUGCUCCCGAAACUGCCGUGCUUGAGUGCGGGAGAGGCGAGUGGAAUUGCAGGUGUAGCGGUGAAAUGCGUAGAUAUUGGGAGGAACACCAGUGGCGAAGGCGGCUCGCUGGACCGGAACUGACGCUGAGGCGCGAAAGCGUGGGGAGCAAACAGG